UACGAGGGGAGCAAGCGUUGUUCGGAUUUACUGGGCGUAAAGGGCGCGUAGGCGGCGCAACAAGUCACUUGUGAAAUCUCCGGGCUUAACUCGGAACGGUCAAGUGAAACUGUCGUGCUAGAGUACAGAAGGGGCAACUGGAAUUCUCGGUGUAGCGGUGAAAUGCGUAGAUAUCGAGAGGAACACCUGCGGCGAAGGCGGGUUGCUGGGCUGAUACUGACGCUGAUGCGCGAAAGCCAGGGGAGCGAACGGG
rnacentral:rRNA from 1 species